GGAGUUAGCCGGUGCUUCUUCUGCGAGUAACGUCACAGAUGUAAGGUAUUAACUUACACCCUUUCCUCCUCGCUGAAAGUGCUUUACAACCCGAAGGCCUUCUUCACACACGCGGCAUGGCUGCAUCAGGGUUUCCCCCAUUGUGCAAUAUUCCCCACUGCUGCCUCCCGUAGGAGUCUGGGCCGUGUCUCAGUCCCAGUGUGGCUGAUCAUCCUCUCAGACCAGCUAGGGAUCGUCGCCUAGGUGAGCCUUUACCUCACCUACUAGCUAAUCCCACCUGGGCUUAUCCAUCAGCGCAAGGCCCGAAGGUCCCCUGCUUUCCCCCGUAGGGCGUAUGCGGUAUUAGCAGUCGUUUCCAACUGUUAUCCCCCACAAAUGGGCAAAUUCCCAGGCAUUACUCACCCGUCCGCCGCUCGUCAUCUUCAAAAGCAAGCUUUUGAAAUGUUACCGCUCGACUUGCAUGUGUUAGGCCUGCCGCCAGCGUUCAAUCUGAGCCAGAAUCGAAACCCUGACGUACGUAGCGGGCCGGUCGGUCGACGGACGGCCGACGUAGU
rnacentral:rRNA from 1 species